rnacentral:SRP_RNA from 16 species
CGGCGGGCUAGGCCGGGGGGUUCGGCGUCCCCUGUAACCGGAAACCGCCGAUAUGCCGGGGCCGAAGCCCGGGGGGCGGUUCCCAAAGCCGCUCCCAGAAGCCGAGGUCGAACGAUGAGUCCUCGUCCCGCGGGGUGCCCGGUGGGGGAGGCACGGCUGAAGGGCCGUGCUAACCCCCUUUGGGCCCCGAACCCCGCAAGGCCCGGAAGGGAGCAGCGGUAGGGGCCACGGAGCACGCUCGCGGGGGUGCGGGGAUGAGAUAGGCCUCGGUGGAUGGGAGCGGUGGAGGGUUCCCACCCUCGGGCGUGCCCGCCG